rnacentral:lncRNA from 1 species
GGGGGGUAAGAUGUACGCAGUCCAUACCUCUACCUCUGAUGAAGUAGAAAGGCUGUUUCCGAUAGACCCCCGGCUCAAGGCAUGAGAUACCACACAAACACAUAGUAAAGCACAGAAGCAGAUUACAUAACAUAAAUACGGCACCCAUAAGUAAUAUAAAGCAGAGGAAAGCAGGGGAAAGCACACAGAUUCGUAAUACAACAUGGAACAC